GUGAUGUGAGGGUGUGUGUGUGUGUGUGUGUGUGUGUGUGUGUGUGUGUGUGUGUGCGUGCGCGCGCACACACACACACUUGAAUCACACAAUCAG
rnacentral:miRNA from 1 species